GUCCCGAAGGAUGGCUCUGUUGGAAGAGCAUGGCACUCCUAAUCUCAGGGUUGUGGGUUUGAAUCCCAUGUUGGGCCA